GACGUAGGAUGCAAGCGUUGUCCGGAAUUAUUGGGCGUAAAGAGUUCGUAGGUGGCAUAUAAAGUCUGGUGUUAAAGCCCGAAGCUCAACUUCGGAUCGGCACUGGAUACUGAUAAGCUAGAGUGCAGUAGAGGCAAGGGGAAUUCCCAGUGUAGCGGUGAAAUGCGUAGAUAUUGGGAGGAACACCGGUGGCGUAAGCGCCUUGCUGGGCUGUUACUGACGCUGAGGAACGAAAGCCAGGGGAG
rnacentral:rRNA from 1 species